rnacentral:rRNA from 1 species
GUGUGGUAACUGCGUGACAGAAUGGGAUAACUCCGGGAAACCGGGGCUAAUACCGGAUGCUUGAUUGAACCGCAUGGUUCAAUCAUAAAAGGUGGCUUUUAGCUACCACUUGCAGAUGGACCCGCGGCGCAUUAGCUAGUUGGUGAGGUAACGGCUCACCAAGGCGACGAUGCGUAGCCGACCUGAGAGGGUGAUCGGCCACACUGGGACUGAGACACGGCCCAGACUCCUACGGGAGGCAGCAGUAGGGAAUCUUCCGCAAUGGACGAAAGUCUGACGGAGCAACGCCGCGUGAGUGAUGAAGGUUUUCGGAUCGUAAAACUCUGUUGUUAGGGAAGAACAAGUACCGUUCGAAUAGGGCGGCACCUUGACGGUACCUAACCAGAAAGCCACGGCUAACUACGUGCCAGCAGCCGCGGUAAUACGUAGGUGGCAAGCGUUGUCCGGAAUUAUUGGGCGUAAAGCGCGCGCAGGCGGUUUCUUAAGUCUGAUGUGAAAGCCCCCGGCUCAACCGGGGAGGGUCAUUGGAAACUGGGGAACUUGAGUGCAGAAGAGGAGAGUGGAAUUCCACGUGUAGCGGUGAAAUGCGUAGAGAUGUGGAGGAACACCAGUGGCGAAGGCGACUCUCUGGUCUGUAACUGACGCUGAGGCGCGAAAGCGUGGGGAGCGAACAGGAUUAGAUACCCUGGUAGUCCACGCCGUAAACGAUGAGUGCUAAGUGUUAGAGGGUUUCCGCCCUUUAGUGCUGCAGCAAACGCAUUAAGCACUCCGCCUGGGGAGUACGGUCGCAAGACUGAAACUCAAAGGAAUUGACGGGGGCCCGCACAAGCGGUGGAGCAUGUGGUUUAAUUCAAAGCAACGCGAAGAACCUUACCAGGUCUUGACAUCCUCUGACAACCCUAGAGAUAGGGCUUCCCCUUCCGGGGCAGAGUGACAGGUGGUGCAUGGUUGUCGUCAGCUCCUGUCCUGAGAUGUUGGGUUAAGUCCCGCAACCACCGCAACCCUUGAUCUUAUUUGCCAGCAUUCAUUUGGCACUCUAAGGUAACUGCCGUGACAACCCGAGAAAAGUGGGGAUGACGUCGAUCCUCAUGCCCCUUAUGACCUGGCCUACCACGUGCUACAAUGGGCCAAAAAAGGGGAGGAAACCCCAAGGUAAGCAAUCCCCAAUCUUUUCU